rnacentral:rRNA from 1 species
CAAUAGCGUAUAUUAAAGUUGUUGCAGUUAAAAAGCUCGUAGUUGGAUUUCUGGUGGGAGCGAUCGGUCUGGCGCUUAGCGCGAGUACUUGCAUCGUCUCCGGCCAUCCUUGGGGAGAGUCUGUCUGGCAUUAGGUUGUCGGGCAGAGGAUCCUCAUCGUUUACUGUGAAAAAAUUAGAGUGUUCAAAGCAGGCUUAUGCCGUUGAAUAUAUUAGCAUGGAAUAAUAAGAUAGGACUUUGGUACUAUUUUGUUGGUUUGCGCACCAAAGUAAUGAUUAAUAGGGACAGUUGGGGGUAUUCGUAUUCCGUUGUCAGAGGUGAAAUUCUUAGAUUGACGAAAGACAAACUGCUGCGAAAGCGUCUGCCAAGGAUGUUUUCAUUGA